CUGGCGGCAGGCCUAACACAUGCAAGUCGAACGGUAACAGGAAGAAGCUUGCUUCUUUGCUGACGAGUGGCGGACGGGUGAGUAAUGUCUGGGAAACUGCCUGAUGGAGGGGGAUAACUACUGGAAACGGUAGCUAAUACCGCAUAACGUCGCAAGACCAAAGAGGGGGACCUUCGGGCCUCUUGCCAUCGGAUGUGCCCAGAUGGGAUUAGCUAGUAGGUGGGGUAAAGGCUCACCUAGGCGACGAUCCCUAGCUGGUCUGAGAGGAUGACCAGCCACACUGGAACUGAGACACGGUCCAGACUCCUACGGGAGGCAGCAGUGGGGAAUAUUGCACAAUGGGCGCAAGCCUGAUGCAGCCAUGCCGCGUGUAUGAAGAAGGCCUUCGGGUUGUAAAGUACUUUCAGCGGGGAGGAAGGGAGUAAAGUUAAUACCUUUGCUCAUUGACGUUACCCGCAGAAGAAGCACCGGCUAACUCCGUGCCAGCAGCCGCGGUAAUACGGAGGGUGCAAGCGUUAAUCGGAAUUACUGGGCGUAAAGCGCACGCAGGCGGUUUGUUAAGUCAGAUGUGAAAUCCCCGGGCUCAACCUGGGAACUGCAUCUGAUACUGGCAAGCUUGAGUCUCGUAGAGGGGGGUAGAAUUCCAGGUGUAGCGGUGAAAUGCGUAGAGAUCUGGAGGGAUACCGGUGGCGAAAGCGGCCCCCUGGACGAAUACUGACGCUCAGGUGCGAAAGCGUGGGGAGCAAACAGGAUUAGAUACCUUGGUAGUCCACGCCGUAAACGAUGUCGACUUGGAGGUUGUGCCCUUGAGGCGUGGCUUCCGGAGCUAACGCGUUAAGUCGACCGCCUGGGGAGUACGGCCGCAAGGUUAAAACUCAAAUGAAUUGACGGGGGCCCGCACAAGCGGUGGAGCAUGUGGUUUAAUUCGAUGCAACGCGAAGAACCUUACCUGGUCUUGACAUCCACAGAACUUUCCAGAGAUGGAUUGGUGCCUUCGGGAACUGUGAGACAGGUGCUGCAUGGCUGUCGUCAGCUCGUGUUGUGAAAUGUUGGGUUAAGUCCCGCAACGAGCGCAACCCUUAUCCUUUGUUGCCAGCGGUCCGGCCGGGAACUCAAAGGAGACUGCCAGUGAUAAACUGGAGGAAGGUGGGGAUGACGUCAAGUCAUCAUGGCCCUUACGACCAGGGCUACACACGUGCUACAAUGGCGCAUACAAAGAGAAGCGACCUCGCGAGAGCAAGCGGACCUCAUAAAGUGCGUCGUAGUCCGGAUUGGAGUCUGCAACUCGACUCCAUGAAGUCGGAAUCGCUAGUAAUCGUGGAUCAGAAUGCCACGGUGAAUACGUUCCCGGGCCUUGUACACACCGCCCGUCACACCAUGGGAGUGGGUUGCAAAAGAAGUAGAUAGCUUAACCUUCGGGAGGGCGCUUACCACUUUGUGA
rnacentral:rRNA from 1 species